CCUACGGGAGGCAGCAGUGGGGAAUCUUGCACAAUGGAGGAAACUCUGAUGCAGCGAUGCCGCGUGAGUGAAGAAGGCCUUUGGGUUGUAAAGCUCUUUUGUAGGGGAAGAUAAUGACUGUACCCUAAGAAUAAGGUCCGGCUAACUUCGUGCCAGCAGCCGCGGUAAUACGAAGGGACCUAGCGUAGUUCGGAAUUACUGGGCGUAAAGCGCGCGUAGGCCGUUGAGUUAGUUAAUUGUGAAAUCCCAAAGCUUAACUUUGGAACUGCAAUUAAAACUGCUCGACUAGAGUUUGAUAGAGGAAAGCGGAAUACAUAGUGUAGAGGUGAAAUUCGUAGAUAUUAUGUAGAACACCAGUUGCGAAGGCGGCUUUCUGGAUCAACACUGACGCUGAGGCGCGAAAGUAUGGGUAGCAAAGAGGAUUAGAUACCCUCGUAGUCCAUACCAUAAACGAUGAUUGCUAGAUGUUGGAAAUUUAUUUUCAGUAUCGCANCUACGCAUAUACAUACCGCCGUCGGGAGGUACGACCGACGAACGUUAAACGUAACAAUAGAAUUAGUACGGCGUGAGACGUGCCGAACGGACGACGACGAGGGAGUAGG
rnacentral:rRNA from 1 species